AGAGAACAAAGCGCCUGUGUUUAUUCCGUCACAGUGAAGAGCACUACCUCUCUCAGUGCAAUGAGAUCACUGAAUGCCCACCUGAGCGACUUAUCAAAUGGAUAAGAAAUGGCAAGAGAUGCUGGAAAUGCGGACGCACCAGCCACAAUUGUAAUGAGUGCACACUGAAGAAACCAUGCGGGGAGUGUGGGGAUGUGCACCUCAGAGUUCUCCAUCGCAUAGCAGAGCAGGGCCCGAGCAUCAUGCUAGUUACAACAGCAAGCGACCGCAUCUACGUGACACCACCUAGCCCUACAGGACGUGUCUUUCUAAAGGUCACCCCCGUGCUACUAUGGAAAGGCGAGAAGUCUAUACAAACCUACGCCAUCCUUGAUGAUGGGGCACAGCGCAGCAUUAUUCUCCCUGCGGCGGUCCAGCAACUAGGCCUACAAGGAAAGAAGGAGGUUAUGGCCCUUCGAACCAUUCGACAUGAUGUUACUCAAAUGGAGGGACGAUCAGUCCAGUUUCAGCUUUCAUCCCAGUCCAAACCAAACGAAAGGUACAACCUAGCCGGUGUAUUCUCUGCACCUCUCCUGACUCUGACUGAGCAGACAUACCCGAUCAAGAGACUUCAGCAGAGCUAUUGUCACUUGCGGGGUAUUCCACUUCCAUCAUUUAGUAAGAUUCAGCCUCUACUCUUAAUCGGAUCUGACUACCCAGGUUUAAUUGCUGCGAAGGAACCCAUUAGAUUGGGCCCCGAUGGCGGACCAGCUGCUGUACACACGCAGCUCGGUUGGGUGCUGCAAGGACCAGAUGGGCUUCUUCUGCACCAGGUAUCGCCUCAACAGUGCUUACUCACUUCCCUUUCUGCAGCGCGAGAUCCAAUUCUCCAACAGGUCGAACAGCUGUGGCAGUUGGACAUUCUUCCUUACCGCAACGAGAAGCUGGUAAUGCGUUCACGACAAGACCAACUUGCCAUAGAACUGCUGGAGAGCAGAACACAGCGUGUGAAAGUGGAUGGAACAUGGCGU
rnacentral:lncRNA from 1 species